rnacentral:lncRNA from 1 species
ACCGGAAUGUGGUCUUUGUACAGGCAUGUACAAAGACCCUGGAGACAGAUGGGGGCAGGGAACAUCCAGCGAUCCUCCAGGCAGGGAAGAUGCCCCCCGAGGAGCAAUAUUUCAGCAGAGCAUUGAAGGGGCUUUAGGGGUUGGCUGCAGUUUGCAGUUCAGUGGCUCGAAGUUCAUCCGCAUUGAUGUGUAGGCACCACCACCAUCCAGCUCGAGAACUUUCUCAUCUUGGAAAACUUCCUUGGACCUUUUAGAUGUUGGCAACAUGUUCAAAAACUUUAAAAUACAGAGAUGGUCAAAUAGACCCUCAUGUGGGCCUUUUUAUAGCCUCUGUCAUGUAUCGCCUUGUGAACUCACACAAUAACCCGUGGGGCAGCGGCAACUAUGCCCCUUCCACAGAUGAGGAAACUGAGGCUGGGAGAGGCCACGUCGCUUGUGUAAGAUCCCACAGCCAAUGAGGACGGCAGAGCUGGAAUCUGAGCUGGAUUCAGUUUGAUUCCCAAGCCUGGGUUCAUCCUGGACCCACACCACCUCCUAACCAGGGUGGAAAUAGAGAGUGACAGAGAGGAGUGGCCUAGGAGUCUGGGAGACGGAGACAGGUCUUCUGGACUGAGACAGUGACACAAGAAGGACGAGGCACAGGAGCUGGAGGUGUGUCCCCAGAGUCACUUGGGUUUGGGCUCAUCAAACAGGGCCUAGGCACAGCUAGACUGGGCCUAUCCUAAGCCCCAAAGACAUAUGCCAGGGGACCAUGUGACCUGGAAGCUGAUGGAGGACAGCUGCACAGCGCCAGUGACAGAGAGGGUGUCCGCACGGUGGAAGGGCACACGGUGUGUGUACUACACAAAGAGGCUCCCGUUCACCAUCACCUGCCAAGACGAGCGCAUGUUCCAGGAGAGAGGUCCCAGACCAGGGCAGGGAGCACACCUGGGCCUCCAGGACUCCUGCUUCUAGAAAUUAAGACCAUCCAUGCCUUGUAGGUCAGGGGCACCAGGCUUCAGAGCUGUGCCUGUUCAGGAACAUGCCUGUGAUCCAAACUCAAUCUCUGCUUGGCUCUCCUUGUUGGCUUUGUAGAUAUUAUGGUGUUUUGUUCAUUGCAAUAGCUCAGUUUGUCUAAUCACAGCUCACCUGGGGUGUUACUUAAACAUGCCUAAAAAUGUUCCUAGGGAACAGAGAAGAGACGAUCUCAGGCUGCUUAUGGAGGGGAUGGGAACAUGCACCUUCAUAGGGAUGCACAGACACAGGUAUACUCAGCCUACCUAUCUUCCCAAACCCAGAUUCACAACUAUGCUGGCAAGAGCAAUCUGAAAUGCCUUGCAAAACUAAGCCAUUACUGGAACCCAGAUAAAGGCUGCAACAAUGUUGCCAGGAAACAAAUGUUCUCAUGGACCCGGAUGGGCCAAUGGCUACAGCAGAGGAACCGAAUUAACUCGGACUUUAAAGACUCAGGAGGACAAAAACCCCAAGGUGACUUAUCUGGUUCUUACUCCCUGAGUGAAAGAAGCAACAGGUUCACCUGUAAGCGCAGGUGAAGAUGUGUAAAGAGACUGCAGCCAUCAGUAACACCCUUAAAGGAAAUGGUCCUGUCAUCUGUCUAUGGUGUUGCUCAGCCAGAUCUCAAUGGGCGCGAAUAUUUCAAGGCUCUUCCCCAGGCCUGUUAGCGCUGAGGGGACGCACAGCGGGAAGGAGGGGAAGAGAGCUCCUGCUCACCUGGAAACAUGAGCUCUGCACCAGGAUGCUGAGCUCAGAAGGAUUCCUGCUCUGUAAGGGCAGGUGUGUCUUCUCCUCCAGCCCCCAGCGUCCUUUCUGCUUCGUGUUGCAGACCACAGACCCGCCCCCUUCAAACCGUGGGUUGAAGUGAAAGGCAAUGUCGUUGUCACCGGCUCAGAACUGCUCUCUGCUUCUGGCCGUGCCUGGAGCCUGAGAACGUUUUCCUUCCCUUCCUGU